AUAGUCUCUACUUUGGGUAUAGCCUUGCAAGCGAAUGUUGUUGUUUGACCGUCUAGCACAGGAAAAACAAUGGUUGCAAAGGCUGUGGCAACUGAAGCCGGAGGAAAAGCAAUAUCCCAAUAGGGUCACAUGCAAAGAGUGUAGUAGCCAUUUCAGCCUCUGAGUGCUAAGGAAGCGCAUGAAGUAAAAAUAGUGUGUACAUAUCACUUCUCUCAAAGCCCAGAUUAAUUUUACUUUUAG